rnacentral:rRNA from 1 species
GACGAACGCUGGCGGCGUGCUUAACACAUGCAAGUCGAACGGAGCACCCCUGAAAGAGUUUUCGGACAAUGGAAGGGAAUGCUUAGUGGCGGACUGGUGAGUAACGCGUGAGGAACCUGCCUUCCAGAGGGGGACAACAGUUGGAAACGACUGCUAAUACCGCAUGACACAUGACCGUGGCAUCACGGACAUGUCAAAGAUUUAUCGCUGGAAGAUGGCCUCGCGUCUGAUUAGCUAGUAGGCGGGGUAACGGCCCACCUAGGCGACGAUCAGUAGCCGGACUGAGAGGUUGACCGGCCACAUUGGGACUGAGAUACGGCCCAG